rnacentral:rRNA from 1 species
AUGAACGCUAGCUACAGGCUUAACACAUGCAAGUCGAGGGGCAUCAGGAAGAAAGCUUGCUUUCUUUGCUGGCGACCGGCGCACGGGUGAGUAACACGUAUCCAACCUGCCCUUUACUCGGGGAUAGCCUUUCGAGAGAAAGAUUAAUACCCGAUAGCAUAAUGAUUCCGCAUGGUUUCAUUAUUAAAGGAUUCCGGUAAAGGAUGGGGAUGCGUUCCAUUAGGUUGUUGGUGAGGUAACGGCCCGCCAAGCCUUCGAUGGAUAGGGGUUCUGAGAGGAAGGUCCCCCACAUUGGAACUGAGACACGGUCCAAACUCCUACGGGAGGCAGCAAUGAGGAAUAUUGGUCAAUGGGCGCUAGCCUGAACCAGCCAAGUAGCGUGAAGGAUGAAGGCUCUAUGGGUCGUAAACUUCUUUUAUAUAAGAAUAAAGUGCAGUAUGUAUACUGUUUUGUAUGUAUUAUAUGAAUAAGGAUCGGCUAACUCCGUGCCAGCAGCCGCGGUAAUACGGAGGAUCCGAGCGUUAUCCGGAUUUAUUGGGUUUAAAGGGAGCGUAGGUGGACUGGUAAGUCAGUUGUGAAAGUUUGCGGCUCAACCGUAAAAUUGCAGUUGAUACUGUCAGUCUUGAGUACAGUAGAGGUGGGCGGAAUUCGUGGUGUAGCGGUGAAAUGCUUAGAUAUCACGAAGAACUCCGAUUGCGAAGGCAGCUCACUGGACUGCAACUGACACUGAUGCUCGAAAGUGUGGGUAUCAAACAGGAUUAGAUACCCUGGUAGUCCACACAGUAAACGAUGAAUACUCGCUGUUUGCGAUAUACAGUAAGCGGCCAAGCGAAAGCAUUAAGUAUUCCACCUGGGGAGUACGCCGGCAACGGUGAAACUCAAAGGAAUUGACGGGGGCCCGCACAAGCGGAGGAACAUGUGGUUUAAUUCGAUGAUACGCGAGGAACCUUACCCGGGCUUAAAUUGCAGUGGAAUGAUGUGGAAACAUGUCAGUGAGCAAUCACCGCUGUGAAGGUGCUGCAUGGUUGUCGUCAGCUCGUGCCGUGAGGUGUCGGCUUAAGUGCCAUAACGAGCGCAACCCUUAUCUUUAGUUACUAACAGGUUAUGCUGAGGACUCUAGAGAGACUGCCGUCGUAAGAUGUGAGGAAGGUGGGGAUGACGUCAAAUCAGCACGGCCCUUACGUCCGGGGCUACACACGUGUUACAAUGGGGGGGUACAGAAGGCAGCUAGCGGGUGACCGUAUGCUAAUCCCAAAAUCCUCUCUCAGUUCGGAUCGAAGUCUGCAACCCGACUUCGUGAAGCUGGAUUCGCUAGUAAUCGCGCAUCAGCCACGGCGCGGUGAAUACGUUCCCGGGCCUUGUACACACCGCCCGUCAAGCCAUGGGAGCCGGGGGUACCUGAAGUACGUAACCGCAAGGAUCGUCCUAGGGUA